rnacentral:lncRNA from 1 species
CGGCUACACCCGUCAACCCCGCUCUCCCUGCCUCGAAUGGCGUCCGAGAGUUGCGAAAUCAACGGGUUCCACAUCCCCAAGGGUGCCACUCUUCUGGUCAACGUAUGGGCCAUAUCUCGCGACCCGGCCCAAUGGUCCGAACCGCUUGAGUUUAGACCCGAGCGGUUCUUGCCGGGUGGAGAGAAGCCCAAUGUGGACGUCAAGGGUAAUGAUUUCGAGGUUAUACCGUUUGGGGCCGGGCGGAGAAUAUGCGCCGGGAUGACCCUUGGGCUGCGUAUGGUGUCUCUAAUGACCGCGACCCUGGUCCAUGGUUUUGAUUGGACCUUGGCUGAUGGGCUCACACCUGAGAAAUUGAACAUGGACGAGGCUUAUGGGCUCACACUACAAAGAGCCGCACCAUUAAUGGUGCACCCACGUAACAGGCUAGCCCCUCAUGCAUAUAAUGCGUCAUCACCUUGAAUUCUUGAGAGAGUUUUGAGUUGUAUGAUGUUUUAUGGAAAAUGUGUUGUCUUUGGUAAUUCCUGGUGUGUCGAU